CGGCCCGGCGGGCUCAGAGGGAAAAGAGGAACAGGGAGGGGACGUCUUUGGGCGCCGUGGCGGUGCGCAAGCGCCGUGGCCCGACUGGGGACUUUGUUCUUCGCGGAGAAACCCAAGGGCGGUGCCGGUGGCCGGCUGCGCACGCGCGCCGCCUCAUUUCCGGUGCUCUCUCGCUGGGUCGCUCGGGUCGGCUUCGGUCGCUGUCGCCCCUGCUCUCCCACCCCUGCCAACCGCCGCUCGGGUCUCUGCCGCGUCGCUUCCUUGCUCGCUCUCUCGCUCGCACAUCCUCUCCGAUGCAGCGCCGGGACGAUCCUGCCGCGCGCAUGACCCGGUCCUCGGGCCGCAGCGGCUCUAUGGACCCCUCAGGUGCCCACCCCUCGGUGCGUCAGACGCCGUCUCGGCAGCCUCCGCUGCCUCACCGGUCCCGGGGAGGCGGAGGGGGGCCCCGAGGGGGCGCCCGGGCCUCGCCAGCCACGCAGCCGCCACCGCUGCUGCCUCCCUCGGCCACAGGUCCCGACGCCACAGUGGGCGGGCCGGCGCCGACCCCACUGCUACCCCCGUCAGCCACGGCCUCGGUCAAGAUGGAGCCAGAAAACAAGUACCUGCCCGAACUCAUGGCUGAGAAGGACUCGCUCGACCCGUCCUUUACUCAUGCCAUGCAGCUUCUGACGGCAGAAAUUGAGAAGAUUCAGAAAGGGGAUUCAAAAAAGGACGAUGAGGAGAAUUAUUUGGACUUAUUUUCUCAUAAGAACAUGAAGCUGAAAGAGCGGGUGCUGAUACCUGUCAAGCAGUACCCAAAGUUCAAUUUUGUGGGGAAGAUUCUUGGACCACAAGGGAAUACAAUCAAAAGACUGCAGGAAGAAACUGGUGCAAAGAUCUCUGUAUUGGGAAAGGGCUCAAUGAGAGACAAAGCCAAGGAAGAAGAGCUUCGCAAAGGCGGAGAUCCAAAGUAUGCCCACUUAAAUAUGGAUCUGCAUGUCUUCAUUGAAGUCUUUGGACCCCCAUGUGAGGCUUAUGCUCUCAUGGCCCAUGCCAUGGAAGAAGUGAAGAAGUUUUUAGUACCAGAUAUGAUGGAUGAUAUCUGCCAGGAGCAAUUUCUAGAGCUGUCCUACUUGAAUGGAGUACCUGAGCCCUCUCGUGGACGUGGGGUGCCAGUGAGAGGCCGGGGAGCUGCACCUCCCCCUCCACCUGUUCCCAGGGGCCGUGGUGUAGGACCCCCUCGGGGAGCUUUGGUGCGUGGCACCCCAGUGAGAGGUGCCAUCACCAGAGGUGCCACUGUGACCCGAGGGGUGCCACCUCCACCUACUGUGAGGGGUGCUCCAGCACCAAGAGCACGGACGGCMGGCAUCCAGAGAAUACCUUUGCCUCCACCCCCUGCACCAGAAACAUAUGAAGAAUAUGGAUAUGAUGAUACAUAUGCGGAACAGAGUUAUGAAGGCUACGAAGGCUAUUACAGCCAGAGCCAAGGGGACUCAGAAUAUUAUGACUAUGGACAUGGGGAGGUUCAAGAUUCUUAUGAAGCUUAUGGCCAAGAUGACUGGAAUGGAACCAGGCCGUCACUGAAGGCCCCUCCAGCUAGGCCAGUGAAGGGAGCAUACAGAGAGCACCCAUAUGGACGUUAUUAAAAUCAAACAGGAGGGGAAAAAUAUCAGUUAUGAGCAAAGUUGUUACUGAUUUCUUGUAUCUCCCAGGAUUCCUGUUGCUUUACCCACAACAGACAAGUGAUUGAAAACUUCUUGAGAUAUUUCCUGGAAUAGAAUGAGUAGUGAAGACCCAUGUCAGCUAUCAGAGAACUCCAGUAACCAGGAGAGAACUACCUGUUGUUUAAAGGCUGGCCUGGGGCAUUUGCUGAGCACAGAGAAACCAUGGAGAGGAGAUCAACAGUUCUGUCUCACCCCGCCUCUUGAUCUGUCUGAAUUAACCACAGAAAACCAGCCAGGAUCAUCCUUUAAGAGUCCUUAGACUCAGAAUGGAAUCCUCAGGGCAGUAGGGGACUGUGAUAUUAACAGUUCUACCUGCUCAAGACUUUAAAAAGAGUGGAACUAACAAUGUCCCUAGCAUGGCCCUCCAGAUCAGUAGACUGGCACCUCCCACUAUACCAUUCCCAGUCUGCUUCCCCUUAAUCUGUCACAGAACCGACUGGAACACCCUACUUUCACUUCCUAUUCCUCACACCAUACAGAAAUUCUUUGGUGGCUGUCAGCAUCAGAGCCCUUGGAUACUUCCAGAGAGUAAUCCUCAUCUCCUCAGUAAUGGGCUAGGGGAAAACCAAAUGCAGAGGUUCAUUUACUUUGGGUUCAUUACUUGCUGAGCCUGUUUUUCUCUUAUUGUUGAUUACUUGUUCAAAAAAGGUCUUGAAAGGUAGGGCUUUUCUACUUUACAUCUGUAUUCUAUUUUCCAACCAGUAUUUGCCCCUGAGGAGCUCAAUAAAGGUUUGGUCAAGUGAUAAAUGGUCCCACUCUGGUAGCUUCUCUUAGCUUUGGGAAAGGGCCUAAGCCCCCCUUCUAGAGCUAUUCUGGGCCAAAUGAUUUGCCUUAACAUUUUCUCUUGAAGGAUUAGGAAGUCAGCUUUUGAAAGGCUUCUGAUUUCCUGGGUCCUAUGCCUAGCUGAGAUUUACAGAGCUUCUUGAGAGAUUAGGGACCUCUAGUGCUGCACUCUUCCCUAAGACCUUCAGGUUAUUUAUCCUAACAAAGGAACCAAGAGCUAGGACUGGGUUUAAGGAGGAAGACUGUCUGCAUUUUAACUAUGUCUGAGGAUAUUUUAAUGAGCUUGGAGUCAUUCUUAGGAGGUGUAGUGGAAAGGGACCUUGAAGUCAGUUGAUUUACAUUGGACAAGCUGUUGAACAUCUGAACCUGCUUGUCUUCAUUGUUGAUUACUAUAAAUAGUAGCUAAUUAUACCUUUUGGGGGUACCAAAGAUUUAAUCCAGGGGUAAUUUA